rnacentral:misc_RNA from 1 species
GGGUUUCGAUCGUUGUUACUGCCAGUGCAGUGUUCGGGUACAUAUUCAAACGCAACAGAAACAGAUGGUCCAAAAAGGGUAUUUGAAAGCAUAAAGGGGUUAUCUUUGGAGUCAGUGAAGAUGGGGUUUUCUCAAUUGACUCCGUUUAAAGUGUUAAAGUGGGGCUUGGUGUUUUCUGUUGCUAUUGCUGCGUCCAGAUGGACGAUGAAUGUACUUGUGAAUCCAUUCUUUUGGAUGUAUUUUAGUAUGACAUGGUUAUAUUGGCCAUGGUUGGUGGCCAUAAGUCUUGCAAGUUACAGUCUUUAUUGCUUAAACAAGCAUUUACGUGGGG